GACGAACGCUGGCGGCGUGCCUAAUACAUGCAAGUCGAACGCAGUGGGGACGGGUGAGUAACCCGUGGGUAACCUCCCAUCAGAGGUGAUACCACUUGGAAAAAGGUGCUAAACCGAUACUGAUGGAUGAACCCGCGGGGGAUUAGCUAGUUGGUGGGGUAACGGCUCACCAAGGCCACGAUGCAUAGCUGACCUGAGAGGAUGACCAGCCACACUGGGACUGAGACACGGCCCAGACUCCUACGGGAGGCAGCAGUAGGGAAUCUUCGGCAAUGGACGAAAGUCUGACCGAGCAAUGCCGCGUGAGUGAAGAAGGUUUUCGGGUCGUAAAACUCUGUUGUUGGGGAAGCGGUAUCUAACCAGAAAGCCACGGCUAACUACGUGCCAGCAGCCGCGGUAAUAC
rnacentral:rRNA from 1 species